AGAGUUUGAUCCUGGCUCAGGACGAACGCUGGCGGCGUGCCUAAUACAUGCAAGUAGAACGCUGAAGAAAGGAGCUUGCUUCUUUUGGAUGAGUUGCGAACGGGUGAGUAACGCGUAGGUAACCUGCCUUGUAGCGGGGGAUAACUAUUGGAAACGAUAGCUAAUACCGCAUAACAUCUUUUGACACAUGUUAGAAGCUUGAAAGAUGCAAUUGCAUCACUACGAGAUGGACCUGCGUUGUAUUAGCUAGUAGGUAGGGUAACGGCCUACCUAGGCGACGAUACAUAGCCGACCUGAGAGGGUGAUCGGCCACACUGGGACUGAGACACGGCCCAGACUCCUACGGGAGGCAGCAGUAGGGAAUCUUCGGCAAUGGGGGCAACCCUGACCGAGCAACGCCGCGUGAGUGAAGAAGGUUUUCGGAUCGUAAAGCUCUGUUGUAAGAGAAGAACGUGUGUGAGAGUGGAAAGUUCACACAGUGACGGUAACUUACCAGAAAGGGACGGCUAACUACGUGCCAGCAGCCGCGGUAAUACGUAGGUCCCGAGCGUUGUCCGGAUUUAUUGGGCGUAAAGCGAGCGCAGGCGGUUUAAUAAGUCUGAAGUUAAAGGCAGUGGCUUAACCAUUGUUCGCUUUGGAAACUGUUAAACUUGAGUGCGGAAGGGGAGAGUGGAAUUCCAUGUGUAGCGGAGAAAUGCGUAGAUAUAUGGAAGAAACCCGGGGGGCGAAAGCGGCUCUUCUGGUCUGUAACUGACGCUGAGGCUCGAAACGGGGGGAAGAAAACAGGAAUAAAACCCCCGG
rnacentral:rRNA from 1 species